UACUUUAAAUUAAGUCCUGUAUUGGUGCAUUUUAUGUAUGAUCCAUAUGCAAAAAUGUUUAAUGUGGUAAACAAUUUAUCCAAUAUAUUUACUGAACAAAAAAUGUAAUAUUUAGGAGGAAUUUGACCUGAAAUCCAAUUAAGCACGUGAGGUCAUUUCCUGCACUAAUGUAAUUGGUUAGUGACAGUAUAAAUAUCAAGCUCCUGCACACUACAUCAUGUCUUGAUAAAGGUUAUUCACCGAAACGCGUUGACACAGGAGUGCGAGUAGCUUCAUACCUUCCAGCUGAUGUUUGUUACUUUCUUUUGUUUUUAACUUUGCAUGUUUUUUGAUGUUGGUGCAACUUUUAUUCACAUUGCGUGUGGAUUUUUGUAACAUGUUUUUAUACGGAACAUUUUAUGGAUUUUUAAUCCAAUAAACAUUGCUUUUUCUGACUACCACGGACCUGAGUGCUCCAGUGCUUUGUAUGAAGAUUUUCACCAGCCGUGUAAAAGAUACCUUUAUGGGAGCACCAACACACUAUGAACUAUCUAGUCCUCCAGUACCACUGACAUUGAGACUGUGACUAACAGAACGAGAAUAUCACAUACUCCACCCCUGCAUAUCCUCUGCCCCUCUUUGGUACAGCUCCAUCAAUGUCUAGCCUGGGCAGGACCAUUCCUGCCAAUGCUUCUCCACCUUUAAUGCUUCAAGAAGAUUCACCUUCAAGAGUGGGAUCCUCUCAGAUACUUGUACAUGGGCCGGUUACCCUGCGCUCAGUACAUCUCCUACUGACAUCAAGUGGCACCCCACAGUUGUGGAACUACAGGUCACAGCAUGUCUGCUUGAGAAUUGCUGGGGCAGGCUGUAUAUGACCCAGCACAGUCUUUCCCCUGGUUGGAACUGCAGGGAAAGCAUGGGUUAAUGCAGCUAAAGGGCCCCAUACACUACAACGAUUUUGCAUGAUUUUAUCCGAUUCCGACCUUUCGGGCUGAUAAAUUGGAUGAAAAGUAUCAAAUUGUAUGUUUUCCAUCCGAUCCGAUGCACGGUCCCGUGAGUGUCUGAUUGGAUCUCCUAGAUCGCUAGUGCUGCACUCCUGAUAUAUCGUAAUUGCAUGGAAUCCUGUGGGAAAAAAAGUGUGUUUUUUGUGCCUGCAAUAUAUCGUAGGAAGUUUGACUGGCAUUCUCAGGACACUCCCAUCAGCGGCAGCAGCAGCUAUGACGCAGCAGGAGAAAAAGAGCGCAUCGGAUAUAUUGGAUUUCAUUGCCCCAAAUAUGUCUCUGGAUCAAGACAUAGACUUCAUCACCAGCCUACUAGACAUGUACCGUAGCCAUGAAUGUCUAUGAAAGGUCAAAGCAAAGGGGUAUUCAGACAAAGUGCGACGGAAUGCGACCUUGGAGGAGCUAGUGGAUUACAGCAGGCCCUUUGUCUCCGGUGCAGACAAGGACUGGGUUAAGAAAAAAAUCCAAAACCUGCGUACUGUGUUCCUGAAAGAACACAAAACAAGGAACAGUAAAAAAUGGUCUGGAGCUGGUUCCUGACUGGUUUACAAGCUCAUAUUCUGGUACUACCCCUUACUGGAGUUUGUCCUGGACCAGGAGCCUACCCGGACAGGUUUCUCCUCCCUGCCUCGGACUGCCACAUCAGAGCCUGAAGAGGGUGAACCAUCUCUGCCGGCAUCUAAGUGUAUUUUUUUCAAAAAGUUUUUUGAAGGUUCACUAAAGUUUUUGAAUGAAGCACCAAUCCAACACAGUCAACUUCACUGAAUGUGGUCCUCCUGCCAAUGGACUGCACCUACCCCGUUAAAAUAGGCCAGGUACUCGUCCCUGACCUGUUUUGCCCGUGCACUCGCCCUAGAAUGGAGUGGAGGUGGUUCCACAGAGGGAAACGAUGAAGUCACCUCUGGAUGUUCUGGGUCUCCUGGCGCUGCUCUGCCCAGUGUCUUAUGCUGGGUGGUUUUUCUGUGCAAAUAGUUAUGCAGGACACAGCACGCAAUCACCACCCAAUCUAUCUUCUCCACCUGCAAGUUGAUAGCCGAUAGGAAUAUCUGGAAGAGGCUAGACAGGAUCCCAAAAGUGUUCUCUACAAUCCGGCGUGCCCUCUAUUUUCUCCACCUGCAAAUUGAUAGCCAAUAGGAAUAUCUGGAAGCGGCUAGACGUCCUGUCAAAAGUGUUCUCUACAAUCGGGCGUGCCCUGGAUAGCCUAUAAUUAUAGAUGCGCUUCUCCCUUGUCAGAUGCCUUUGGGGGUACGCCGUCAUAAUGUUCUCAUGGAGUGCGAAUGCCUCAUCAGCCACAAAAAUAAAAUUGAGGCCGUGGUUGGUUUGCUCCCUAGAUGGCAUAUUAAGGGUCUUUGUGGUGAGCCACUCAAGAAAGUUGGUAUUCUUCAGCGAGCCACCAUCUGAUGCACCUCCGUUUUUGCCAACAUCAAUGAAGAUGAAUUCGUAAUAGGCAUUCACCACUGCCAUCAGCACAAUGCUGAAAUACCCUUUAUAAUUAUAAUAAAGGGAUCCGCUGUUUGCAGGAGAGUUGAUGCUGUCAAAGUCGAAAAAUAUUGUAAUGCAUAUGCUUUGUACUAACCGCAUGCACAUGCCCGCUGCUCGUACACUCAGUCCGCCGUGCGUGCACAUAUCCGCAAUUUGCGUAGGAUCGCUCCGGCGAUCAUGCGCGUGAUAUUGGUAUUUAUGGCGGAGUUUGUGAGCGCGUAGAGGGUUAUUAGAACAUUACAUAUUUAACCCAAAUAGUGCAUUUUGUACCCAUAGUUCCCUUGCACCACAUCAGCGAGUAUUAAUAGUUUAAACAGUUCCAGGACUAAGAGAUUCGCCUUUGCAUGAUAGGAAGGGUCAGAUAAAGGUUGGAAGGUGAUGUCUAGUAUCCAGCUGUAGGGUAUUUUGAGGGUAACAUUCCGGUAUUGGUUAGAGAAAGAUCGCAUGUUCCAGCGUAUAGUUAUGUGCAGAAGUAGAAUAUAGAUAUUAACUGUAUUUACUGUAUAUUAUGUAUGCGGCGGGAAUCCAGAGGAUACCACCCACAAGAGCAGUUGGGGAAAGACAUCGCCCAUCUAUUCAAAUCAACCUAUGACCUCUUCUGUAAUGAAAAGACACAUCUCUGUGUCCAAUGGACAAUGCGAUUACAGUGACCAUUGUAUUGUGUAUGUAUGUUGUGUAUAAAAAGCCCAUUGUUGCCUGGCCCGUCAGAAGACUCUGAACGCUUUCUAUCUGACUAGCGGAGGACCGUCCGGGUUGCGCUUGCGAACAUUCUCACGUAUGUACAUUCUCUGUAGCCAUUAUUCUGUUUAGAUUUAUCUUGUUAGCCUGUAGUGUAUGAUUUGUACUGUUUUACCUUUUGGAAU